UACGGGGGGGGCAAGCGUUGUUCGGAAUUACUGGGCGUAAAGGGCUCGUAGGCGGCCAACUAAGUCGGAUGUGAAAUCCCCAGGCUUAACCUGGGAACUGCAUCCGAUACUGGAUGGCUUGAAUUCGGGAGAGGGAUGCAGAAUUCCAGGUGUAGCGGUGAAAUGCGUAGAUAUCUGGAGGAAUACCGGUGGCGAAGGCGGCAUCCUGGACCGAGAUUGACGCUGAUGAGCGAAAGCUAGGGGAGCAAACGGGG
rnacentral:rRNA from 1 species